rnacentral:lncRNA from 1 species
UUUAACCUAAUCGGCCGGAUCGAAACAAGCUUGUUAAUCUCAGCCGUCUAUUAUAUCAACAUUCGGAUCUAACCAGUUGCCCUUCCUCUAUAUAACAACUCGUUUCCUCUUUCCCAGACUCAGCUUUCAAUUAGGGUUUACGUUUUAUCAAACAUCUGAUUAUUUCUCCGCCGUUGGAGUCUACAAGGUAAUCGUCUUCGUAUUCUUUUUAGAUUAAACUUUAUCAAAUAUGUUUCAUAGCCCUAUCUCUCCUUCUCAAUGCGAAUGAAAUGCAUCUAUUUCCAAUUUUUAUGUUUUCCUGCGAAUUUACUAAGGCUUCGCUAAUCUGGUCGGCAUGAAUUUUAUUAGUUUCUGUCUGACUCGUUCCCUUGAAGCAAAAUUAAGCGUGCUGUUUUUAGAUUUUUAUAAUCUUCAAUCGAUUUUCAUUGGAGAACACUUAAGCAGCUACAUAUGUUCAUUAAGUUAAACAAAUGAAGCAUUCAAAAUCAAUCAUUAGUAACCACUUACGAUACUUUUCGGGAUUUUCUUUUUUAUUGUAAUUUGGGGAAAAUGUGACUGUGAUGAGCCAAUACAGACCUGUAAUGACUUGCGAAAAUGAUCGCAACUUAUGAACAUCUAAGGGACUGAGUCUCGAUUCCCUCAUUUUAUUUAUGACUUCAAUUUUGGAAUUUAUUUAAGUUCUAAAUUUUUGAAAAUUCUAAUUUUCAAUAUGUAUGUUCGUGGCUUUAUAUACUGUGAAUGAGGAUUUGCUACAAUUUAGUAUUGGCAAAUUUUAAUGGAGUGAAGCCUAGAAAAAAUGUUCCCCUCGCUAUCCGGUGCAACCAUCAAUGUAGCAUUUGGACGUUGGGAAACAACAUUUGAAAUUCAUGUUUAUUGAUACAUAUAAUUUUUAGAAUACGUUGAUAUACUUAACGACACUGAUCAUAUCUCAAGUUACAAUACACGAGUUUUCCCAAUGCGUUUUUACUCAGUAGUUGUCUACAUAUGAAUCUGUCGAAUCCAAUCAUGUAUUUGUUAAGUGCAUGCAUUUUAAGUAAUCGUUGAAGAUUAAGAGAGAAGUGAAAGGAUGUGUUAUUUACAAACCUCAAGGUAUUUCAAAAUUGAUAUCUAAAAAUAUCCGAAUGCUAGACCCUGAGUUGCUCACUAAUUUAAUACUUGAAUCUUGAAGCUAUAAACGCUUUAAAUACAUGAAGGAAAUACCAAAAUGGCUAUAAGAACGAAACUAAAAGAUUGAAACAGAAGAUCUAAAGACUAGACUGAAACAGAAAAUCUUUGAGCUGCUAGAGCAAUUGUCCAUCCUUGCCACUCUGUAUAAGUCAACUCCAAAUUCUUGACCAUAUCCCCUCGCAACCAAUCUUGCCUUAUGCUUUUUAACUUACCUGUUUUCGUUCAACUUUGGUUUGUCAACCCUCUUCACACCGACUAAGGACCAUGUUUGGACCUUUUCAAUGAUAUCGAUCUCACGGUCCAUUGCCAUUCUCCACUUCAUCUCUUUAGCUGCAUCUUCAUAGCGUAUCAGAUCCUGAUUGAUUGUUUCCACAACAUGCAACUCAUCUUCGUCUGAGGUUAAAAAAAUCUCUUGUGGCAUAAUCUUACAAGUACACAUGUCGUUUUUGUUGUCUUCCCUCUGUGGCUUAGUUAUUGUUAGGACCAGAGGCGAAAUCAAGGGUAGUGCCUUGGUGCUUUGAUUAAUCAAUUUGUUUACUAUCUUCAUCAUUGAAGAUGUAGUGUUUCAUCAGUUUAGUUAUAGUUUCCCCAUUUGAGUUCUUCUUCACCUUCAACUUAUUUUUCUUCAAUUUUACUUUAGUCCCAACCUUUGUUCUCUUCAAAGAUCACAUCAUAAGCAACCCCAAACACGAAAAUGAUCAACUGUUGGCUUCACCUUGCUCCAAGCUUUCUUGUGGGGUCAUAUCAAGAAGGGCCUUAGUUGUACUUUUAUUUAGCACAUAGAAACUCCACCGUGUGGCUUUAACCCAAAACAUCUUGGGCUUGUUUUUUGCAGCUAGCAAAGUCACCACCAUAUUUAUCACUGUUCUUUUCUUGUGUCUUGCAACCCUAUUCUAUUGUGGGGUAAAGCUUGUGGUCAAUUGUCGUUUGAUCCCAUGUUUCUUGCAAAAAUUUCUGAAGUCAUUAGAUAGGUACUCUCCUCCCCUGUCUGUUCGGAUAGCUUUAACCACCUUUCCAGUUUUAGUCUCCAUGUUUCUCUUGAAUUCAUUGAAGCUUUCAAGGGUCUGUGACUUUUUUUACAACAAAUAAACCCAACCCUUGCGACUGUAGUCAUUAAUAAAGCUAAAAAAUUAUCUCUUUCCUGAUUGAGAUGCUGGUGUAAUUGGCCCAUAUAUGUGAGAGUGCACCAACUCCAACAUUUCUUCAGCACAUCGUGUACUUGAUUUCGGAAUGGCUUCUUUAGUUUGCUUUCCCUUUAUAUAAUCCCUACAGUUGUGUCCAAAACAAAGUAUCGUCAUUCAUGUACAGACAUUCAUUCGUCUUUUGAUCUGCAACUUCAUUGGCAUUUUCACUUGGUGCAAACAUCCUGUUUGUGCUCAUAUAACAUUAUUGCCAUUCUCCACUUCAUAUCUUUAGUUGCAUCUUCAUAGUGUGUCGGAUCAUGAUUGAUUGUUUCAACAACAUACAACUCAUUUUCAUCUGAGGUUAACACUUCUCUUGUGACGUAAUCUCGCAAGUAUACAGACCGUAUUUGUUGUUUUCCAUCCUUGGCCUGGUUAUUGUUGGGACCAGAGUCGGAAUCAAGAGUAGCGCCUUGGUGAUAUGAUCUUCAAUUUCUUCAUUAUCAUAUGUUCAUCAAUGUAGUCAUAAUAUUCCCAUGUGAGUUCUUCACAUGCAUCCUUUUUUUUCCUUCAAUUUUACUACACUCCCAACCUUUGUUCUCUUCAAAGAUCACAUCUUUACUUGUUACUACUUUCAUUGUUUCAGGGUUUAUGAGCCGAUAUCUCUUUGACUCUUCACUUACACCUUAACACACAAACAAAACUAUUGUUAUCUAGUAUUGCUAACUAAUUCAAUACUUUAUUCAUGAGGUCAAAAAGGCUUUAAAUACAAGAAGGAAAAUAAUAAAAUGACUAUAAAAAUGGAACUGAAAGAGUGAAACAGAAAAGCUAAAGACUAGGUAGACUAAAUAAACACAUGUGCAACUCUUGGUUGACUAGUCAAUCUUAUUUGAUUUCCUUUAUUGCAAUCCUAAAUACUCCAACAAACUGUAAGUACACUUUCAACAAAAUUUAUCCUAUUAUAGCUGCAAGAUUUUGAAAGCCAAGUUGUUGACUUAAACAUAGCUUUGAAGUUCACAGAAGCAAAACUUAAAGCAUCAUCAACCUUCUUUUGAGCAUCCGAAGAAUCCCUAACAAAAUGGACAGAAACUUGACAAAUGAUAUAAAUGCAUGUGUUACUCUUUGAUGAUAAGAUUCCACAAAUUUUAAGGUUUAUGGUUCCUUUACACUCUUUGAGGCCACUUAAAAUAUUCACAUCAUAAAUGUAAGGGUCUCAUGAAUAUUAAACAAGUUAUUGGUCAAAACUGGUAUCUCUUAGGAAGAGGUUUGAUACACUCGACGACUUACUCAACCUGUAAGAUAUUUGACAUUAACGAACAAUUUAUUAUACCGAUCUUCAAGCUUAUAGAAAGAACACUUAAUUGUGUAGUAAGGGUGAACAUUCCGAUGGAAUAAGAUCUGAUUGGUUCUUGGAUUUGACUUUGUUGAGAUAUGUUGACCUUGGAUUGAAUUUGUUGAGGCUUAUCGGGUAUAUAUUUGGAUUUUCACGUUCUUUUACCUUACGUAUCGGUACAUAAGGUGCAACUUGUUGAAAGUUAGUUUGUUUGUUAUGAGCAUAAAUAUAGUACAAAACUAAAAAAGACAAAAUCAUAGUAUAAAAAAAUUGCUGAAAAGUUUGAAAAAUUCUAGCUUUAAAAUCCAAACUCAACGGGCCUAAAAUGUAAAACGUAUGACAAUUCCUAUGUGUUGAUGCAGGAUUUAAAACUCUACAAACCCUAGAAGGGUUAGAUUUUCGUUCAAGGAGGGUGUAAAAAGGGGUUGCAUUUUGAAGGAAAGAGUUAGCAUCUAGUGUUUGAUCCAUGGUUGUUAGAAAUAUCAUCCAUAAUUAAUGACUUUAGAUGCUAUUGCAAUCGGUCUUUCAUUUGGAUAAAUCAACAACUGUUUUAAUGUCUUUAGAUAUUAUUUCAAUCAGUCUCUUAUUUAUUUGGAUAAAUCAAUAACUAUAUGAAAUCUAAUAUUUUUAAAUAAUCAAAAGAGAGUAGGUUCUAAACAUGCAAAAUGAACACAAUAAUAAUGAAUUAACAGAAAUGGUAGCAAAACCAGCUUAAAUUAACACAAAUGGUAGCCAAACCAACUUAUUAUUAACUCACCACAAAAUAAUCAUCAAAUUAGUUAUACUUUUAUUUUUUAUAAGUUUCAAAGUAUAUGAUAUAUGCAUAUCUAUAUACAUAUUUUACAUAAUAUCUUAAUAUUUCUAGUCAUUUUUAUGCCCUUUAUAUAACAAAAAGGUACAUAAUCUAUUGUAUGAUGUGUUGUAGUGGUAAAAUAGAUGCUCGGAGCAAAAAAGAAGUUGAAAGUUGGAAGCUAGGAAUUUGGAUGACGAUAAAAAAAUGAAGAAAAAUACACUCUCCACGUUGUGGCAACAUUCCCACGACGUGGCUUUUUGGAUUUUCCCGAUGAAUCUAGAAGACUUGUUGAAUACAAGAUAAACACGAAGGCCACGACUUCGUGGUGAUAUGUUUUCGGGAAAACUAUACAUUGAAGCCAUUAUCCUCCGAAAAUAGAACUUUGGCCAGAAGCUAUUGUCGUCUUUUGAAGGCCGAGUACCCACUUUGAAGUUUGGAGUUGCGAAAGUCGAUCAUAGCUUGGAAUCGAGAUAAUUGAGGCAAUACAACAUUCUAUUACGAUUUUCUACUUAAGUUUAAUCUUGUCUAUUAUGAUGAAUUUUGUUUUGCUGUUUUUACUUGCUGAAAUCAUGGGCUAAAACCCUAUGACUUUCGUUAAGUUUAGAUUGACUUUUUAUGUCUUGAUUUAUGGUUUAAGUUAUGUUUUGUUGGUUAUUUGUUACUUUACCUUAUUAAAGAACCUUCUAUGCUUAUGAGAACUACUUUUAUGUUUAUUGCCAAGUUUAAUUUAGAUUGCAUGCUCAUCUUUCUUUUAUUGAACUUGAAUCUUAUGAUCUUUGUGAACAGCAAAAUUAUAGGACUAAUGUUUUGACCAAAACCUAGUGUUAAAUAGAAAAAGCGGGUAAGUAAUUGUAGGAUCUAAUAUAUGACGACCGAUCAUAUAUCGUAUUGAUUCAAUAAACCAAUUUGAUCAAUCUAUUAUAAGUCUAAUUUAACUCGAACCAGACACUAGUAGACUUGUUAGUUUAUCCGCCUGAUCACCGUAUGAAUGAAAUUGUUUACUAAAGAAUUAAGUUAGUGAACAUUAACUUAGUCAUAUUAUAAAUUGGUAACCAACAAAACUAUAAUUCAUUGCACUUUCAUAAAUCAAC